rnacentral:rRNA from 1 species
GGGUCAGGAGGUUGGUCGUGCCACCGGUACGUACUGGUCUCACUGAUUCCUCCUUCCUGAAGAACCGUAAUGCCAUUAAUUUGGUGUUGCGGGGAAACAGGACUGUUACUUUGAAAAAAUUAGAGUGUUUAAAGCAAUCUAACGCUUGAAUACAUUAGCAUGGAAUAAUGAAAUAGGACGAUCGAUCCUAUUUUGUUGGUUUCUAGGAUUGACGUA